rnacentral:tRNA from 1 species
CAGGUUAAGCUUGAAGAUAAGAUUUUUAUUUACAUUAAAAUAAAUACUGUGCAAUUCAGUGUAGCCUGA